GGAACCAGCAGCUUUGGACCUUAUUGAUUGUCUGCAGUUACCACCAGAACAAAAGAACAUACAUAGAUUCUGCCUAGGAGAAAAGAACAAUGCUCUUCUUUAUAAAUCAGCAAUGUCUUCAUCAUGACCCACCCCCAAAAAUACUAUUUUCAGAAACUGUACUCAAAAGUGAUUACUGAGUUGCACUGAAUAGCAUUUGUAUGAUAUUAAAACAACCCUAUAAAAACAGUGUAAGAUAACUGUGUAAGAAGCAAAGUUAAAAGACAGGUGUUUUUAAAAUGCUUCUUUGGAUGUAUUUUAAGGUGGCUAGUCUAAGAGAAUAUACCUCUUCAGUUAAUACUGAAGAGAGUGGCUUAUAUUUAUAACUUUGGUCAUUUGCAUAGAAAUAUAUACAUUAGCUUCUUAAAUAAGUCCUAUAUGUCUCCAUGUAACUGUGGCUCAGAAUAUGUAAUGUGUAGCUAUAAUCGUGCUCGAGGCCUAGAAAUAAAUCAUUUACAAUCUUCUUUACUGACCCUAUUAGAUUUUACUACUGAUUUAAGAAGAAUGUUACUUUAUACUUUGUAUUUAUUGCCAGAGUUUUCCUUAGUCUUUUAACCAGACAAAAUACUCUGUAUGUCCUAUUAUAACAAGACAUUCUCUUGUCAUAAGAGUUAUCAAUAAUUAGCAAAAAUAUGGUGCCUUUUAGUCUUUAUAUUUUACUUUGUAUGUAUCAUGGACCUAUGGGAGAUAAAUCAGUAAAUACCACCUCUAAAGUCAGACUGCUCUGGUUCAUCUGUCAACGGACCCUGAGCUGCAUAGUUUGAGUUUGAUGAGAAUUUUAGUUUUAUAAACUACUCCAACUAUAAGUAAUGUGUCAUAUUUGAACACUGUUAGACAUUGCCACAUCAAAUAUUGAUUUCUUAUAAGUAGAAUCAAUAUAUUAAAUCUAUUUACAAAUUUUACAAUAAUAUUGCAGAUACCAAGAUACACAAUGGAGAUGAGAGACUGCUCAUAAUAGAAGAUACAAAAUGAUUUCAUUCUUUUAACUCUAAUGCUUUACAUGGGUGCUAUAAAUUCUAUGUACCUUCUGCAUUGUUAAAAUAAAUUUAUGAAUGUACUUUAGAACACUGUAUGGAGUCGUUGUUCACCUUUUCAUUGGAUUUGUUACAAUUACUCAUGUUUGGACUAUCAUACGCUACAAAUCACCCAUGAGUUAUAUUUCCUAAAAAAUUUGAUACUGCCAUAUCGUAAACAUGUUCUUCCUCUAUACAAGCCACGUAAAAUAUGUUAAAGCAUGUAUCCACAUUGUGCCUAUUCAGAUUCCUUAUAUCACCUAUUUUAUUUAUGGAGAAUCUCUGAAAUUUUAAGUGCAUGUAUGUGUGUGUAUGAACAUUCGUCUUAAAACUCCAACUGAAAGGAGGUAAUAUAAACAGUAGACUUUUGAUAGUGUUUAUCUUUUACUUCUUUGAACCACAUUUUCAUUAUCUUUAAACACUUCUAAAAGCCCAAGUUUCUCAAUACAAAGAACUCUAUAUGUGUGUGUAUCUACAAGUGCAAGAAACCUGAUUAUAUUUAAUAGCAAUGUUUAUCCAACAGAUCAGAAACUAUCUCGUAUAUAAAACAAUAUCACACACAGGUAUAUAGCUACAGACACCUGAUUUAUCAUAAUCAUAAAUAAUAUGUAAAUGAUGUUUCAUAAAUUUAGUUCUAAAAUCAUGUAAGGGAUGGUUGUUUAUUGUUUAUAGUGAUAUCAGAUAUAAUCUAUUUCAAAUGCAGUAUUUUUUGUGUUAUUAUAUCUAUGAAUUAGACUAUAUGUUAACUUCUUUUUCGUAGAGGAAAGGUACCAAAGCUGAAUUUAGAAUGCAGUGAUGUUUAUUUUUUACUAAUCAUCAUGCAUUCUUUGAACCCUCCCUGUGUAACCUUCCUGCAUAUUAACUAUCUUUUCUAAGACUAUCAUUGAUAAAGCUUUUCUCUUACUCCUUAAAGGUGAGUAGAGAUUUAAGUGGGUGACUUUGUUUAUAUAAACUACUUUAUGCUGUAUAUGGAUAGAUGGAUGCCACUUUUUUCUGCAUUUCUGUCUAAGCUGUCACAGAAUAAUAUUAUUUGGAGCUAUAAAAUAUGAUUUGGAAAAUCAGAUCAUACUAAGCUUAAAAUAAAAGGAGAGGUCUACGACAAAGAGCGAGAAAAUGAUGUGUGUUGCAUACAAAAAAAGCAGUGAUAUUAACAAUUCGAUGGCUUCCUGGUUGGGAGACCAGCCUGAGCCAGACGCAUAUAUUAAGAGCUGUCUGCUGCCGAUGUGAGCUUGCUCAAUGCGGUGGAAAUGAGGAAUCACCUCCUCUCUGACACCAGCUUAUUUUCACAUUUUAAUUUGGAAAUAGCAAAUCACUGUUUUACAUAAACACACUAACUCCCGCUCGGUUCUUUCUCCUUUGCUUGUUAAUUUACUAUGAACUUCAAGUUCCUUUUUUUUUUUUUUUUACAAUCCUCACUCACUUUAAACUUACCAGCUAAAAUCGAUCAAAGACCAAUGAAGUAUUAGUUGUUUCUCUCUCUUUUGUACUGCUCUGUGAAUAUUGUGAUAUUCGUGCAUUUAACUUUUAAUCUUUGUAAGGAACACAUCAGUUUUCCAAAAUGGUGUUUUUGUUUGUUUGUUUGUUUGUCUUUAAAAUCUUUUAGGACCCAUCAAGGAAGCCACUUCUGGAAUUUUGCCAUAUCUAAAUAUGAUUAUUUUUCAUUUCAGGGUUCAUGGGAUCAAUAUUUUCUUAGUAUAAAAGUCUGUAACACUUUAGUGUUCCAGUGAAGCUGAAGGAGAGCUAUAUACAGAUAUUCUUAAGCAUUAGGCUAUAUUAAUAAUACCUAGAAGAGAUGUGUCUGACGAUUUGUGAGCACCAAGGGACUAUUCUGUGGAAUCAUCUUUCCUUGCCUUUGAAUUAGCUUUCCCUAGGCCAUGAGUCAACCUCAAUCUUUUGUACAUCCAAAUUGAAUUCCUGAGGACGGAUGACGUACCAGCCAUUAUGCAGGAACAGAAACACAACUGUGAAUGAACAUAAAGUUUCUUCUGAUCCUAAGGUUAAAGAACCCACAAAAGUUUUCUUGAGCAUGGAUUACCUACAGUGAUCGUGGCUUCUUGAUUCCCAGAUUAUAUCCCAAUGG